ACAACAACAUUUGGACCGUCGGUCUACCGAGCAAAUGUCGCCCGCUCGGUGGAAGAUCUUCCCUUUGUCGUAUAUU
rnacentral:pre_miRNA from 1 species